rnacentral:rRNA from 1 species
GACGAAGGGGGCUAGCGUUGCUCGGAAUCACUGGGCGUAAAGCGCACGUAGGCGGUUGUUUAAGUCAGAGGUGAAAGCCUGGAGCUCAACUCCAGAACUGCCUUUGAUACUGGGCAUCUUGAGUCCGGAAGAGGUAAGUGGAACUGCGGGUGUAGAGGUGAAAUUCGUAGAUAUUCGCAAGAACACCAGUGGCGAAGGCGGCUUACUGGUCCGGUACUGACGCUGAGGUGCGAAAGCGUGGGGAGCAAACAGG